rnacentral:misc_RNA from 1 species
AAGUCGUAACAAGGUUUCCGUAGGUGAACCUGCGGAAGGAUCAUUAACAAAUCCAAUUGUUAGGCGGCGAGUUGGUGUGAUCGGUCAUUGUGACUGAUCCGCCGCCGCCGCUGACAUUAAACCGGAUCUCCGAGAGGAGAUUCGCCUGUGGGUAGUUAGAGGUUGCUGGCUGGCUAGCUAGCUAGCUAGCGGUUUUUAGCUGUCUGCAGAAAUAGGCCAUGUAUGUUAUUGUAUGUCAUCACAAAUAUUAUUUGUAAUUUAAACAACUUUUAACAAUGGAUCUCUUGGCUCUU